CAGGCCCACCCUGCGUGACUUCUUCUGUGGAGGUGCUGGAUCAGGCCAGGCCCUCAGGUGUCUUCAUGGCCUCACAAACCCAAUGCUGCCCCCUGUGGCUGUGCAGAGGAGGCUGCCCAUCCUGGCCUGGCUGCCCGACUCCUCCCUUCAGUGGCUGAAGAUGGACUUCAUCCUCAGGCUCUGUCAGGCUCCAGGUCAUCUCCCAGGCACUGGCCUGUGCUGAGGUGGCCUGACUCCCACCCCAGUACAACCUCUACUCUGCCUUCACGGGUGCUUCAUGUAUUUCUUCCUGGUCGCCUCCUGGCAUGUGACUGGGUCCCACGGCCAUCAUGUCCCUCCUGGUCUCCUACGCUUCCCAUGAGCCCCACUGUGCUGAGCUGCUGCCUUCCUGUGGGGCUGCGUGCAGUUAGCCGUGGGGUUCCUGUGCUUGGGCUGGCCCGUGCAGUCUUCCCUGAUGGAGGGCAGUGCCCAGAUUAAGGCCAGGAGGAGGCGUGUGUGUGAGAAUCCAGCAGCUGACACUUCUUCCCUCUCACUCUGUGCUGGGGCUGGAUUCAACAGUUUCUCCGUGUUGAAUUCUCACCACACCCCUGGGAGUUUUAUCCUGACGGCAUCUGUUACUUCUGGAAUCCACUCCAACCACGCGGAGGAGAGUCCCUCCAACGCCUAUGAAGUGGAAUCUUCAGAAACGUUUAGUUUUAAAACUGGGAAUCUGGAAGAUUCAUUUCUUCAUGACUGCAAAAUAUUUAUUAAUAGUUUUUCACAAACCGAUGCUUUGGAAAGAGAUAUUGUUAAUUGGGCUGUUUGGCUUUCAAUGUCAUCUUUGGGGGUGGAGCAAUACUAAAUGUGGGUCCACUUUCAUAUUCAGGGUGCAGAUCCAUGUGAUCCAAACUCUUAUACUUGUUUUCCAUUUGAUGACUUCCUUGCGUUCCCCUCCCCCUGAAAGAUGGUCAUUCUUUCCUGACACUUGUGAAUAUGUUUUUUUCAAACUUUAGGUGCCUUUUUUUUUUUAAAGGUAUACUUUUUGGUGAGGAAGAUUGGC